rnacentral:rRNA from 1 species
CAGCAGUCGCCGCGGUAAUACGAAGGGUGCAAGCGUUAAUCGGAAUUACUGGGCGUAAAGCGUGCGUAGGCGGUGAGUUAAGUCUGCUGUGAAAUCCCCGGGCUCAACCUGGGAAUGGCAGUGGAUACUGGCUCGCUAGAGUGUGUCAGAGGAUGGUGGAAUUCCCGGUGUAGCGGUGAAAUGCGUAGAGAUCGGGAGGAACAUCAGUGGCGAAGGCGGCCAUCUGGGACAACACUGACGCUGAGGCACGAAAGCGUGGGGAGCAAACAGGAUUAGAUACCCGAGUAGUCCCUGUCUCUUAUAC